rnacentral:rRNA from 1 species
UACGGAGGGUGCAAGCGUUGUCCGGAAUCACUGGGCGUAAAGGGCGCGUAGGCGGCUCAUGAAGGCUGUGGUGAAAGUCCGGGGCUCAACCUCGGAUCGGCCGUGGCGACUCGUGGGCUGGAGCACUGUAGAGGCGGGUGGAAUUCCGGGUGUAGCGGUGGAAUGCGUAGAGAUCGGGAGGAACACCUGUGGCGAAAGCGGCUCACUGGACCACAACUGACGCUGAGGCGCGAAAGCUAGGGGAGCAAACAGG